UCCAUUUCUGUGGAAAUCAGACAUUAGUGAUUUGAAGAUAUCCUUGAAAAUAGACCAUUGGGUGAUUAGGAACUUCACUGUGAAGCCAUCCGGGCCCGGAGCUUUGUUGUUGCCAAGUGCCUUUAAUGCCUUAAAGAUCUCUGUUAGGAUUCUACACCCUUUUUAAUAAAAUACCCAACUAGGGCUAAACAGAGACAGAAUAUAUAGCCCAAAGUUACAGCUACAAUAAGGAAUGAAAACAAGAACAAUGAACAACAAGAACAAACCUGCACCCUUCACAAGAAGGAUACCCCCUCCUAUCAGCUGCUGCCGCCUCCCUUUCUUAAAAGAUAACCAAAAAGAUACCCAUCCCUAUUUCUCAAUCAUUCUAUUUAUACUCACCCUCAAAUUCCUACCCAGUGGGACCCACCUGCACAUUCUUUUAUUUCCCACUCAUUCUCUCUCCUUACAUGUUGGUGAGUUUCCCUUCUUACCCUUCCUAACAUACGUAUGUAUGAUUGGGGUCUCACAACACCCCUCGGUUCAAAAUUCACCUUGUCCUCAAGGUGGAAUGUGGGAAACUGUUGAUUCAUUUGAUAGACAGCUUCCCAUGUGGCUUCAGUUUCUGGUAAAUUCUUCCACUUGACUAGCCAUUCGUUAGCUCCCAAUUCUUUGUUCCAGCGAAUUCCCAAUACCUGUUCUGGCCAUAGUUGUAAUUCGAAAUCUGUUGUCAACAUAGGUUGUUGUUGCUGCACAACCUUCUGCUUACCUAACUUGAGCUUCAACUAUAGGCCACCUCUCCUAUCUCUUCAAUGAUUGUGUAAGGCCCGUAGAAUUUUGGAGCCAGCUUUUCACACCUUUUCCGAGCUAAGGAUCUCUGCCUAUAAGGUCUGAGCUUUAGGUAUACUUCAUCACCCACCUUGAACUUCAAUUCCCUUCUUUUGGUGUCUGCCCAUUUCUUCAUGCGGUUUUGGGCUAAGUGAAGGUUCUCCUUCAAGGCGUUCAAUGCCAGAUCUCUCUCCUUGAGCAUUAUUUCUACCUCAUCAUUCUGAGUUUUUCGGGUUCCGUAGGAUAGAAUCGGGGUGGUUGCCUUCCAUAUACAAUCUUGAAAGGGUUGGAACGUAUGGAUGAAUGGAAAGUAGUGUUAUACCACAGUUCAGCCGAUGGAAUGAACUUAUGCCACCUUUGGGGUUGUUCAUUGCAAAAGCAUCUCAAGUAUGUCUCCAGACAUUGGUUUACCCUUUCCGUUUGUCCAUCUGUUUGUGGGUGGAACGCCGUGCUUCUUUUCAGUUUAGUUCCCAUAGUUGUAAAUAACUCCUUCCAAAAAUGACUAAUGAAAACUUUAUCCCUGUCGGAUACUAUGGAUUUUGGAACCCCAUGCUUGCUGAUGAUCUUUUCAAUGAAUGUCGUCGCCACUUGUUUAGCUGUGAAAGGGUGCUUCAUAGUGAUGAAAUAAGCAUACUUGCUCAAUCUGUCUACCACCACCAUUAUCACAUUCAUUCCCCCUGCCUUCGGUAACCCUUCUAUGAAAUCCAUUGACCAUUCUUCUAGUAUGGCUUCCGGAGCAGGAAGUGGAUGUAAUACCCCUGCUGGUUUCGUGGCCUCAUAUUUGUUUCUUUGACAAAUCUCACACUGUUCCACAUAUUUCUUUAUACCAGCCUUCAUUCCCUCCCAGUACAGCUCUCCGCUCAUCCUUUUCUAUGUCCUCAAGAAUCCCGAGUGUCCUCCUAAGAUGGAGUCAUGGAAUGUAUGCAGCAAUGUGGGAAUCACUGACGACUUCUUUGAUAAUACCACUCUCUUCUUGUAGAACAGUUUCCCAUUCUCCUAGCUAAAUUUGCUAAUUCCCUCUGGAUUCUGUUUCAAUUCUUUAAUGGUUUUCUGUAAUUCCUCAUCUUGGUUGACUUCCUUGUCUAUCACUUCCAUGUCUACAAUGCCAGUUGUCGUCAAGGAGUUUACUUCCAGCGGAUAUUCCAUCCUAGAAAGGGCAUCUGCUGCUUUGUUUUGUAAUCCAGGUUGGUAUAAUAUUUCAAAAUCGUAUCCCAGCAGUUUGGUCAGCCAUUUCUGAAAUUGGGGUUGUACUUCCCUCUGCUCAAGGAGAAAUUUCAAUGCCUUUUGAUCUGAGAUAAUUGUAAACUUCCUUCCUAAUAGAUAAUGACGCCAUUUCUGCACUGAUAAUACUACAGCCAUCCGUUCUCUUUCGUAAAUGGACUUGGCCUGAGCUCGUGUCGACAAUUUCUGGCUGAAGAAGGCUAUGGGUGACCAUUCUGUGAAAGUACAGCUCCCAAUCCUGUCCCUGAAGCAUCUGUUUCGAUUAAAAAAGGUAGAUCCCAAUUCGGCAGUGCUAGCACCGGGAUAGUAGUCAUGGCCAUCUUUAAUUUUUCAAAGGCCUCGGUUGCUUGUUCAUCCCACGCAAAAGAAUUCUUUUGCAACAAUCUGGUCAAGGGGGCUGCAAUUUCUCCGUAUCCUUUCACAAACCUACGAUAAUAGCCCGAUAAUCCCAGAAAUCCUCUCAGACCCGUGACAUCUUUCGGCUGAGGCCAUUUCACCAUGUCUUUGAUCUUCUCCUCAUCAGCCUGUACUCCUUUACUCGAAAUUAUAUGCCCCAAAUAUUGGAUUUUGGAGUGAGCUAUGACACACUUCUUCUUAUUUGCAAAUAGAUGUUAUCUCUCAACACUGCAAAUACCAUCCCUAGAUGUUUCUCAUGUUCUGCUAUAUCCUUGCUAUAUACAAGUAUAUCAUCGAAGAAUACCAAUACACACCUUCUUAAAAAGGGUUUGAAUACCUGAUUCAUCAAGGACUGGAAGGUGGCUGGUGCGUUUGUAAGACCGAAGGGCAUUACCAGAAAUUCAUAGUGACCCUCAUGUGUUUCUGAACGCGGUCUUCUCAACAUCUUCCUUCUGCAUCCUUAUUUGAUGGUAACCGGACUUCAGAUCUAGUUUUGAGAAAACCGUGGCUCCAUGUAAUUCAUCCAGCAGUUCUUCUAUCACUGGGAUAGGAAAUUUGUCUGAUAUGGUUACUUGGUUGAGUUUCCGGUAAUCUACACAAAACCGCCACCCUCCAUCUUUCUUUUUGACCAAUAAAACAGGGCUGGAGUAAGGGCUAUGACUGGGACGUAUCACACCUGCUUGCAGCAUUUCCACCACCAAUUUCUCAAUUUCCUCCUUCUGUACAUAACCAUAUUUAUAUGGUCUGACAUUGACCUUUGGUUCGGUAAAACCAAUAUACGGUGAUCUAUUUCUCUCUUAGGAGUAGUUUUUGGAUCCUCAAAGAUGUCUGCAUACUGUUGUAACAGAUUUUUAAUCAUUGGAAUCUCUUCCUCGUCCCUUUCAUUUCCUGCUCCGCUUCCACCUCCGUGUCUACUUCAUACUUUUGGAAUUCCAACAGAAAACCCUGAUCUUCAUUUUCCCACGUUUUCUCAAUGGUUUUCAGGGAACAUUCUGCUUGGAUGAGGGAUGGGUCUCCUUUCAAGAUAAUUUUCUGUUUGCCCAACCAGAAAGACAUUGUUAGAGAUGGCCAAUGUAUCUUCAUGGUGCCUGUUGUAUCCAGCCACUGCAUACCCAAUAUUACAUCCACAUUUCCCAACUCAAUAGCAAAAAAAUCAGCCACCACCACCACCCCUUGUAGUUCCAAUUCCACUCUCUUGCAAACACCCUUGCCUGCUACACUUGGUGCCAUCUCCAAUUGUAACUGCAAACGGGUUACCUUUUUCCAGAUAUAAGUUCUUUUCCUUUACUGUCCGGUUAUGUAUAAAAUUAUGGGUUGCUCCACUAUCAAUCAGUACUAUCACUCCUUUGCCCUUUAUAUUUCCCUUCAGCUUCAUCGUUCCCUUCGAUGCCAUCCCAUGGAUUGUCUUCAAUUCUAUUUCCUCCCCUUCAGCAAAAUCCAUAUGGUUUAAUUCCACUGUUUCCCCUGGUUCCUCUUCCAUCUUGCCUUCCUCUUCCUUGCUCUCCUCUUCAUUCAUGAUAAAUAACAUCAGCUCCCUUUUUUCCUUCACUCUACAUCUGUGCCCUGGUGUAUAUUUCUCAUUGCAUUUAAAACAUAGGCCCUUAUCCAAUCUGGACCUGAAUUCUGCGUCUGAAAGUCUGUAGUUCGAUAGGAGGUUCACUUUUUUGAUAACUACCCUUAAUAGGUAUAGUUACUUGUUUUAUGGGGAAAUCUGUCCUCCUCAUGUAGCCUUUGUCUGUUCCAUCUUGGAUUUUUCCUGCAUACUCUUCUUUUUUCUUUGGUUCCACUGUCCUGCCCUCGGUCUUAGUCAAUUUCAUUGCUACAUUCCGAUCAUUGACUAGUUUAGCCUCCCUCAUACAAUCUUCCAAUGUUCGAGGAAACGACUAACGACUUCUGCCUGAAGAUUGGGUUCCAGACCGGUCAGAAAAGCAUCUCGUAACACACUUUCCUCCAUGUGAGGGAGGGGAGCUGAAUAUGUGACAAAUUUCUUCACAUACUCACUGUAGGAUCCAUCUUGUUGAAUCCUAAUCAAGCGUGCCACUAGACUUGUUUGUCCGAGUCCUUGAAGAAAUCAAACAUCCUCCCUUUCAAAUCUUCCCAUGACUCUACUUUCUUCCUAUUAUGCGUCCACCUGUACCAGUCCACUUCCUCUUGCCCAAAACUGACCACCGCCACUCUGAUCUUCUCGUUUUCUGGCAGGUUGUUCAUCUCAAAGAAAUGUUCUGCUCUAUAUACCCAGGAUUCUGGAUUUUCACCUAAGAACAUAGGCAUUUCUAACUUUGCGUACUUACUUCGAUCCACAUUGCUUCCAUUUACCUCAUUACAGACUUCCGAUUCUUCUACUUUUCCUUUCAACUUCAUGCUGGAUCCAUCAGAUGUUCCGGAUUCAUCUCUUUUCUUAUAGCUAUGAUUCUCUCUUAGUUCCUCUGUCAGUCUUUCCAUAGAUUUCUUCAUUUCCAGUAGCAUUUCUUUCAUGCUCAGCAGCUCCUUCUCGGUUCCUUCCAUUCGUUCCUCCAUUUGUCUUUGUGCCAUGCGACGCGUCACCACCCCUAGUUUUUUUUUUUCUUUUUGUCGGGCUCUGAUACCAAAUGUUAGGAUUCUACACCCUUUUUAAUAAAAUACCCAACUAGGGCUAAACAGAGACAGAAUAUAUAGCCCAAAGUUACAGCUACAAUAAGGAAUGAAAACAAGAACAAUGAACAACAAGAACAAACCUGCACCCUUCACAAGAAGGAUACCCCUCUCCUAUCAGCUGCUGCCGCCUCCCUUUCUUAAAAGAUAACCAAAAAGAUACCCAUCCCUAUUUCUCAAUCAUUCUAUUUAUACUCACCCUCAAAUUCCUACCCAGUGGGACCCACCUGCACAUUCUUUUAUUUCCCACUCAUUCUCUCUCCUUACAUGUUGGUGAGUUUCCCUUCUUACCCUUCCUAACAUACAUAUAUGUAUGAUUGGGGGUCUCACAAUCUCCUCCACUGAAAGUUGGGUAACAAGAGCCUCAUUCUGAAUUGAGGAAACACAAGACCAAUUACUGUUAAUAGGGAUGAAGCUGUCCCCCGGAAUUCUGGUAUAAAGUGACUCAAAAAAUUCUAGCACAAUCCUUUCAAUGUCGCCGAAUGAAGUCGAGACAAUCUCAUCAUCAUAUUUUAAUUCAGUUAUGAGGUUCCUUCUUUUUUUCGCAUUUAGAAAGCGGUGGAAGAAGCCCGUAUUCUCAUCACCCAAAGAAAGCCAAUUGAGUUUACUCUUCUGAAUAAAAUUACUCUUCAUUUUGAUAAAUACUAAGUAAUUCCGCUUGCAAAGCAGCUCUAGAAUUCAACUCUUCUUGAUUUAAUCCAAUCAACUCAGCCACAGAAUCAUUUUUUCUAAUUUUGACAUCAAGGAUUUCUCUGUUUUUUUUUUUACCUUAGCUUGCGCAGCAAUAUUCCAAGCUUUUACUGCCAAUUUAACUGAUCUCAACUGCUCAUGAAGAAUGAAACCAGCCCAUCCCUGGAAGUUAGAGUUGCUCACUGUUUCAACAAUAAUCUGAUUAGAAUCACUGGACACCAACCAGCUGUUACAAAACCGAAAAGGAGAGGGACCCCAAAGAAAAGAACCAGCCUCCAAGAAUAAAGGAAAGUGAUCCGAGAGAUGCGUGCUUUUCGAGAAACCCGAGAAUUUUCAAAACAAACAUCCCACAUCUGAUUUAUGAAGAAUCUGUCUAAUAAUGAUCUUCAAGGAGAAUUACCGUCUCUAGACCAAGUGAACCUUCCAUUUUGCAAUGGAAUUUCCAUGAGAGAAACCAUGUCAAUAAACUUAUUGAAUAAUGACAUUCCUCUAGUACUUCUGCCAAAAGGAAAUCUUUCCCGGCCCAACGAGUGAUAUUAAAAUCCCCACCUAUGCACCAGGCCACGGCCGAACAAUCAGCCAAGGAAGACAAUUCGGGCCAAACCAAUUUCCUUUCUCUGCAACCACAAGGGCCAUAGACAUUUGUGAUCCAACAAACCUUUUUGCACAAAGUGAGGCAUUUGAUUGACAAAGAGAAGCGUCUUUUAAUGACCUCUGUUACAGAUAUUUUACUGCUGUCCCACAUGGUAAGAAUUCCCCCAGAAGAUCCAACAGAAGCCACAUAAUCCCAGCCAAUAUCCUUAGAACUCCACAAUGAUUUUAUAAAAGCCGAGUUCAAGGUGUCCUUCUUAGAUUCUUGAAUCAUGACUACAAUUGUUGAUGAUUUUUUAAGUGCUGCACGUUUAGAGGAGUCGUUCAAACCCUUAGUGUUCCAGGAGACAACCUUAAUAAUGACUGGGAGGAGGAAAAGGCAGUUGCACAUCUAAUUUAAGCCAGAAUGAUUCCACAAUCACCGACUAUAGACACUAAAUCUUUAGGCAAAUCCAGGGGAAUUUUAAUAGGGAGAAUAUCUUCAUCAUUGACAUUCAGAUCCAUCCCAUUAAUUUCUGGGACUAAUUUAGGGUCAACUUCAGUGUUGGGGACUGCCAAUUUAACUGAUCUCAACAGUAAGUUGAUUAAGUUGGGCAGUAGGAGGGACACGAGACAAGGCAUCUGCUGCUUUGUUUUCUAGUCCCGGUUUAUACACGACAUCAAAAUUGUAGCCAAGAAGCUUAGCAAUCCACCUCUGAUGUUGAGGUUGGAUAACCCUUUGUUCCAAUAAAAGUUUCAAUGAUCGUUGAUCAGUUUUCACUUCAAACCUCUUGCCCAAAAGAUAAGGUCUACAGCGUUGCACAGCCAAAACUACAGCCAUUUUCCCGUUCAUAAACUGGUUUAGCACGAUCCCUCAUAGCUAAUGUCUGGCUAAAAUAAGCAAUUGGCCGAUGAUUUUGAAUUAAGACAGCACCUACCCCAUAUCCAGAAGCAUCGGUCUCUAUUUCAAAUGGUAAGGAAAAAUCUGGCAGUGCUAAGAUUGGGAGAGUCAUCGUAGCCAUCUUUAAAUUCUCAAAAGCUUCAGCAGCUGCAACAGUCCAUUCAUAUGCUCCUUUCUUCAAUAAUUGAGUCAAAGGAGUAGCCACACUUCCAUAAUUCAUUACAAAUCUUCGAUAAUAUCCUGUCAACCCAAAGAAAUCCACGAACUUCACGGACAUUAGUGGGCACGGGCCCAUUCUUUGAUAGAUCUAAUUUUCUCGGGAUCAACCUCUACACCCUUUCCCGAAAUUAUAUGGCCAAGAUACUCCACUUUCAUUUUGGCAAACCCACACUUGUGCAUAUUACCAUAUAAUUUAUUCUCUCGCAGCACCUCUAACACCCAUUCUAAAUGUUGAAGAUUUUCAUCCAAACUUCUACUGUAAAUUAAUAUAUCAUCAAAAACGACUAAGAAAACCUGUGUAGGUAAGGUUUAAAGAUACUAUUCAUCAAAGCUUGAAACGUUGAUGGUGCAUUGGUGAGCCCAAAAGGCAUGACAAGAAACUCAUAAUGCCCCUCGUGAGUUCUAAAAGCUGUUUUCUUCAAAUCCUUUUUACACAUUCUAAUUUGAUGAUAUCCCGCCUUGAGAUCAAUCUUCGAAAAUAUAUUAGCCCCAUUAAGUUCAUCAAACAAUUCCUCUACUACUGGAAUAGGAAACUUGUAUGGAACGGUCACACUAUUCAACGCACGGUAAUCUACACAAAACCGUCAACUACCAUUUUUUUUUCACCAACAAGACCGGGCUCGAAUAUGGACUAGUACUAGGUUUUUAUGCCAAAUGCCAUCAUUUCAUCAACCAAUCUUUCCAUCUCCUCCUUUUGCUGGUAUGCAUAUCUAUAAGGCCGAACAUUGACUGGAUUAGUCCCCUUCUUAAGAUGUAUAUGAUGUUCAAUGGUACAUUGUGGUGGCAACUCUCCAGGCCAACCAAAAACAUCUUCAUUCUUAGCUAACACGGCUGGAAUAGACUCAUGAGUGGUAGGCACUUCAUCAACCCCAUACAUCGCUGCAAAUGCCAUUCCACCUUCCAAAGAUCUACACUCAAUCAGAAAUCCUGAUCAAGUUCUGUCCAUGUCUUCAUCAUGUGCUUCAAACUCACCCUAGCCUUCGUAUGACUCGGAUCUCCCCUCAAUACAACCUUCUUCCCAUUUUGUAUGAAUGUCAAAGUAAGUUUUCACCAAUCUACUUCGGUUACUCCUAAUGUAUGUAGCCAUUGCAUACCAAGAAUGACAUCCACUCCCCCCCAAUUCCAAUGGCAGAAAAUUAUCCACAACCUUCCAUUCACCCAAUAGCAGUUCCACUUGUUUACAAAUUCCCUUCCCUUUUACAGCAGAUUCAGACCCCAAAAUAACCCCAUAAUCAGAAGUUUCCUGCAACUGCAACAACAAUUGAGUUACUAACUUUUCAUAUAUAAAAUUAUUGGUCGCGCCGCAAUCUAUCGAUACUACUACUGACCUUUCUCUAAUCAUACCUUUAAUUUUCAUAGUUCCAGGGUUUGUUAAUCCCACCACCGAAUUUAUUGACAAUUCGAUCACGGGUUCUUCUGGUUUAACAACUUCAGUCUCCUGUAUUUCAGUUUCCACUUUUGAAUCCUCUUCUUCAACUACUCUAGUUCUUCCCCAUUUGCCCCAACAACUAAAACUCUAAGUUCCUUAUGAUCUUUCACGUUACACUUAUGGCCCACAAAAAAUCAUUCCUCACAGCGAAAAGAGACCUUUCUCACGUCUAGCCUGAAAUUCAGCAUCAGAAAGUCGUUUUAGUGGUCCUUCUCGUCGAUUAGGUUCACCAGCCACUCCUCGAAUUGUAAUCAUCCGCAUUCGAACAAUCCCUCCUGACUUAUUAUCAUUAGAAAUCACAGGAAUUUGAGGUUUAAAGGAAGCAGAAACCUGGAAUUUUCCAUCCGCUGCACGUUUGAAACUUGAUUCUCCCAUUAUCACUUCUCGGUUCUCAAUCUUUUGGGCCAACUUCAUCAUUUGAGCAAGCCCCAUAGGUUCCCAACAUUCCAUGUCUGCCUUAAUCCAUGGUUUCAAACCAUUCAUAAAUGUUUCUUCUAAGACAGCCUUUUGUAGAAAAGGCAAUGGUGCUACUGAUUUAUCAAAUAAAUUCCAAUAUUCUUCCACUGUAAUAUCUUGCUUGAUCUUUAAAAAUCUUCCCAGAAUUGAUCCCUCACGACUCGAUCGAAAUCAAACAAUAAGUCUCUUCUUUAAAUCGUCCCAAUUAACAAACGGUUCACGAUCUUCAUGAGAUCUAUACCAAUUCAAAGCUGCUCCAUCAAAACUAAGAAUGGACACAAUCAUUUUCUCUGACUCACUCAGUUUGUGUAUCUGAAAGUAUCUCUCAGCCCUAAACAACCAAGAAUCGUGAUCAUUUCCCACAAAAACUGGCAUUUCAAUUUUUUUAAAUUUGCUUCGGUCGCCCGCAGAAUCUUCACCCUCCAACUUGGUAUGUUUUUCCUCAGAUUUUCCUCCCAUCAUCGUCCAAUCACUGACAUCAACCAUGCUGUCAACUCACUUGAUGAUCCUUCUAGUACUUCUUCCAUCGUUGUCUUCCCUUUGAUCAUUCCUUCAAUAUAUUUCAACAGUGUUUCUGGUUGCUGUUGUUGCUUCUCAGCCUGUACUCCUAACCUCUCAAUACUCUUCGCCAAAGAUGACAUGUUUUCCUUGAUUGUUGGCAGAUCAUGUAAUUCUGCUCGAAUGCCGGAUAUUUCUUGAUCUACCAUUUCCAACUUUUCCUCAAUUCGCUUUUGAGCCAUGAUAUAGAACUUCACAGAUUCGAUUUCUCCGAUACCAAAAUGAUAGAACACCAAAUAGUGUGUUCUACUAAUUUAUUAAUCAGCCAAACAUUUACAGAAAACAGGUUCUAACACAGUCUUGAAAACAAAGUACUCGACAAUUUGGAAGACAGAAAUCCCUAAAAGAGUGAAUAUCACGCUUUGGAGAAUGCGAAAUGGACUAUGAACUGUGCAGAAGUUUUGCAAAUGAAACCUCCCUUUCUCAGUUUAUCUCCUCAUGUUUGUCCCUUGUGUUUGCAUGCUUUAGAAGAUUUACAUCAUAUUUUCUUCUCCUGCUUACAUGCAAAGAAGUGUUGGUUUGGCUUACUUGGCUAUCUUCAUUUGAAUUGGGUUUUCGACUAUAGAUUUAGGAGAACGCGGUCCAGCUUAUUUCAUGUCCCAUUCUCAAGAAGAAACCAAGAUUGAUUUGGUUAAAUGCAGUAAAGGCCAUUUUACCAUAAAUUUGGUUUGAACAUAAUCAACUAACAUUUCAAAAUAAAGCUUCCUCUUGGACAACUCGAGUCGAAAUGGCUAGAAUCAAUGCUUCUACUUGAUGCUCUCUUUCAAAAGACUUCAAAGAUUUCUCCAUACAAGAUAUAAGUCAUAACUGGCCGACUUUCAUUUUUAAUUCUUAGUCCACUACUGUACUCUUAUUUUAUUUCUUUUGGAUUUCUAGUGGUCUUAAAUCUAUGUUGUAUAGUUAUUGGCAGUUUGUAUGAUCUAUUCUAAACCUUGUCGUUGGUUUAGUCUUUUGGUUUAAGUCUCGAUAUGGUGAGAACGCUAAGUGGGUGUCAACCUAGAUGAGAUGUCCGAGUGCACUAGCUGAUCCUAGGGCUUCUUUGUAUUAUCUUUUGUCUUGUCUACUCAUUUUCAGCUUCAUGAAGAGGCUCCUUUCCUAUUUCAAAAAAAAAAAAAAAAAGGUAAAUGUGUGAUUCUUAUAAAGUAAAUUAUCCUACGAUUAAAAGUUUGAACUUAGACUAUUCCAAGUGCUUCACCAAAUCUUAAAUAUUUGAACCAACUGCACCAACUUUGCACAACACAACAAUGUAAAACACAUUAACUACUUUCUCUUCUAUGCACAUUAUAUAUCAAAUAAAAAUAUUAGAAGGGAAAAAAUGGAAAAAAGACUGUGUUAAGAAAGAUGGAUGGAAACCUUAUAAUGAUACAUAUUUUUACAAAUCCAGAUGUACGGGUGCUCGUGUGUGUUCAAUAAAGUAAAUAAUAGAAAAUUUUUCAAACAAAAACCAAGCAUAAUAAAUUUCUAUGACCAUUAAGACAUCCAUAUUCUUAUCGCUUCUCUCCCACGUUUCACGAAGGCCCUCAGCCAUCUGCCAGUUCCAUUUGAAUUAUUUUUGAUAAAGCCCAUUAAAAAAAAAAAAGUUCAAAAUGCAUGAAAAAUGCACUUUGAGACCUAAAAUGACAACCAAGUAUGCAAGUGAAACAAACUUAGUCUUAAACAAGUCCCAAAAUGGCAAUCAAGUGGGUAAGGUCAACAAACUUAGUAUCUCUUGAUUUGAAAUUUGAAAAAUAUUUGUAAGGUGUGAUAAAUUCAAAAUCAAAUCAUUUUAUGUUUAUGUCGUUGAAUUUAAAGAAAUCAAAUGAUUAUAAAUCAACUUUUAAAAAAUUAAAAAUUUGUUUCUAGACAUCCAUAUUCUUACCGAUUAAAAUUCAACUUACAUAUUUCUUUUUUACUUGAUAUCUAAAAUUUACAUAUACUUUAAAAUUUAUUUCUUCUCUUUUCAUUUUUUUUCUCAUAUUUCAUUUUUCAAGAUUUAAAUAGUUUUUUUUGUUUUAUCUGUACUUUUUUUGAUAGGUUAUGAGUUAUGAGCUUAUAGUUUAGUCGUGUUAGGUCGUUUUGAAAAUUCAAGUGAUACUCCAAGGUUAUUCUUGGAAUAUUCUUUUACAUUAUAUUUGUUAAAUCACUAUUUAGUUUAUUAAGAGCUUGAUAAAUAACCACUAAACUAAAACCAUAGAGGAUAAUUGAUAGACCAUUAGUACAUGUUCUAUCACUAACUAACCGACGGUAAAACUUUGUUAUAUUUGUGAAUAUCUUCAGCAAUUUUAUCAUUUAAGACAAUUUUUCGUAUAAUAUCGACAUGAACAUCGUAAGAAAACUCAAAUUAAGUAAGUUAAAUUAAAAAAAAAAUUGUAUGAAUGUUUCGAGAACCAUUAAUUAUAAAUUCAACAUUUUUGAAUGAAAAAUUGGAUUGGUUUGUGGUGACGGCUAACAUGCAUGUCUAACAAUUAUUUUCAAUUUCUAAUACUUUCAUCCAUUGCCAAAGUUGGAAACUAAUGUUCACAUUUUUUUUAUCUUAUUAAAUAAAAUUUCACAUUUCUUGAAAAUUUUGGAUUAUAAUUAUUUGAAAAACAAAAUAUAUAUUUUUUGCUUUAUCGUUACUGAAAAUUUUAUCUCAAUUUUUACAGUAAAAUUUGAUUUUUUAGUCUAAAUUUUAAAAACAAAAUAUUUGUUUUAGUUAUAAAGAAAUUGUUUUGGAUUUUAAAUGGGUUUUAUCACAAAUAAUUCAAAUAUAUUUUAAUCCCUCAUCUCCCCUUCUCUCUCACUCACGUUUCAAAUUUCUUCCCCUACUUCUUCUCUAACGGCUAUCUCUCUCUCUCUGCUUUCUCGUCCUCUCCCCUUCUCUCAUCUUCUUCGUCUUCCUCAAAAUCGCCGAUUGACGGCCAUCUUCUUCUCCUAUCCCUAACAGCGCCGGAUUUCUCAACUGUCGAUCGAGUGACAAUCGUGCCUGCCUGCUUGACAAAGCCUUUUCGGUCUACCAAUAAAGGAAAAACGAUUGCUGGUGACACGAAAGCUGUGCUCAACGCUCUUUUUCCUAUUCCACUGCACGUCGUGGUCUUUCCCUUGCUGGUUGGAUGACUACUAUGGACGAAGAGCACAACUACUUCCAGUCUCUGGUCGAUAAGUACCCAAGGAAGGUAAAUUCCAGCGGAGAAAGUCGAGAGCUCCUUAGUUGAUCACAAAUCCUUCCAAAUUCUUUGUUCGUAGACUAAUUUGAAAUCCUUCCAAUAUGGAUCCAUGCUGUCUUUUAUAUCCAUAAGAUACCAAUUAGAUUGUGUUAAUUAUUGUUUAUAAGAAAAUAUUUGUGUGCAGAGUUGGCAGUGGGUAAAUCUUAAUGGCUGGCAGAAAAUUGGUUCGGGAUAUAUUACUCUCAAGACAAAGUAUUUUUUAUCAAUUUACUUCCAUGGGGUAUUUGCUCUUCCUAUGCUUUAUCCUUAUCGCAUCUUUCUCCGUGUAGUCUUCAUAGGAUGGAUUUCUGUGGUGUAAAUUUUAUUCAUCUAGUUUGUUUGAUUUGUGGUUGCAUUUAGGAGAAGGUAAAUUACAUAAGCCACAGUAGUUAUGGAAAAAAUCUCCAAUUUACAGCAAGUUAAAGAAAAAAAAGAAGAGAAAAACAGCAUUAAAAAAAACUGGGCAUCUUGCUUCUUUCUUAUUGAAAGUUCUGCCGUUUCUUUCAAGUCAAAUUGACCAUAAAAUGCUCAAAUGAGAUUUUUCAAUAGGAAUAUGUAAAAAAAAUAUAAUAUGUAAAAGAAUUUUUUUGAAACGUGGGAGAGAAGCGAUAACAUUAUCCUUCAAAAAAUUCAGGAGUAGUAAAUAUUUAUGUGAAAGGACAUAUUAUAAGCCACAGUAGUUAUGGAAAACAUCUCCAAUUUACAGCAAGUUAAAGAAAAAAAAAGAAGAAAACAGCAGCUAAAAAAAACUGGGCAUCUUGCUUCUUUCUUAUUGAAAGUUCUGCCGUUUCUUUCAAGUCAAAUUGACCAUAAAAUGCUCAAAUGAGAUUCUUCAAUAGGAAUAUGUAAAAGAACUUUUGUGAAACGUGGAGAGAAGCGAUACAUUAUCCUUCCAAAAAUUCAGGAGUAAAUAUUUAUGUGAAAGGACAUAUUAUUUGCCAUUUGACCUUAUUUGGUUGGAAAUGAUAAACUACACAUUAUUGUUUGCUUCAGUUGUGAUCUUGAUUAUGGGCUAUUUGGUAUUUUGCCUACAAACUGUAUAGUUAAUUAUCUGUUAGCUUUUGUUUUCUGUCACAACUUUAUGUUUAUGUGGCUAAUUGUAGCCGAAAGUUUUAUUUAUCAAUCUUAUUUUUCACAGCAUAAAUGAAACUGUGUUUCAAGAACAAGGUGCUGCUACAUCAUUCAAGGAAAUUCGUCGUAGAGGUCCGUAAGUUUUUUCCUUUGGAGAUGUGAUACUAACCUGUUUGAAUAAAAGAAUCUGACUUGGUCUUUUCCUCUUUAACAUUAUGGAUUAGGUCUUUCUCUUUACCAGAUUUCGUAGCUGAAGUUUAUGAAGUAAUCAAACCGGUGUUAACUUCUUAUAUAAAGGUUAGUGCUAACUGCUAAGCUUAUUUCUAAGAUGAAAGAUGCUUUUAUCCCCUCCCCAAAGAAUAUCAUUACUAUUUAUGUUGUGUUUCUGCUAACUAAUUCUUGCAUAGCAUCUGGUUUGAUAAUUAAAGUAAAGUUUCUGACAUGGAGGUUUUCAAGUUGUAAUAUAUAUUUUUAUGUUUUAGGUAGAUUCCCAAACUUUGAAGAAACACUACAGUACUGAGGUAAUUGAAUGUUGUAAGGCAGAGCAUCGGGCUUACUAGAGCCAAGGUAUCUUCUUCGAUAACAAGGUAAGGAUAGUCUUGAUACUACCUUUCUUUUGUUAUUGAAGUUUAUUGUUCUUUUUGUUGGGGGCUUGGUGGUUGUGCACCUAUAUUGAUUGUACUUCUGUUAAUUAAUUAUAGUCAUCCUCUCUUGUCUGAGUAAUUAUUGUCAACCAUUUUGUUAGCAAAGGCUUCCCAUGGAUAUUCAGUUUGUUGUGCUGCAUGUCCACGAUGAUUUUCGUGAUUUUAGUUCUAGAUACAUAAAAAGGGCCUUUGCAUCACGACAUGAAUGACUAUUUUUUAAUAUGAACCUACAAUACCCAAAAUGAAUGCUGGAUUAAAUUAGAUACAGGCGCAGAUAGAGAGUGAGAUGGAGAGUGUUUGUGUGCUUUAGAGCCAUCUGUCCCUAAAACAUAGUUUCUUCCCCCCCCAUAAGAAGUAAGUUUAUUGAUGUAUGUAAUUUACAAAAAGGUUUGGUGGACACCUACAACAAUCUUUUUGAACUUUUUGGUAGGUUAUGAAUUACGAACUUGUAUUGAAUAUUUGUUAGGUCGUUUUAAUAAUUCAAGUGAUGCUUAGAAAAUGCAACCGAGCUUAAACAAUUCUGCACAUUUUACUAAAAUUUUUAGUUUAACCUUUUUAAUAAAAUUCGAUGGAAAUUCUUGUUUUCUUUUUGUAGGAAUAAAGGAAAAUGAAAUAUAACCAAACUUGGGAUCUUUGCAAGCAAGCUUCCAUGAAGAAACUAGGUUACAAGGGAGGUCUUCUGUUCUCCUUUUUCUUUUUUUCUUUCCAUCCGUAGAAUCUUGCUUAAAAUGCUUUGAGGACAAUGCAAAUUUUUAAGUGGGGGUGGAGUUGUAGCCUUGCACAUUCCAUGUCCUUUGGGAAAUUUUCAUUUUGCAAAUUUUGCUAAAAAUGUCAAAAUUUAGAAACUUUUGCAAUGCUCUAUGCUUAGAAUAAGUACCAUGUCUACUUCGAUUUUUAGCAUAAAAAAGCAUGUAUGCCUACCAUGAGAACGGAGCUCGAUUUGUGAUUGUAUUUUUUAUUUGAAUAUGUUACAUAUGUUGAAAAUGCAUAUAUUGAUAGCUUAGAAAUGAGUAGAACACUUGGUUCAUUUCUGAAUAUUUGAAUUAUGUACAUAAUAAUAUGUCGGUUGUCUUUUUUAUCUCACUUUUAAUCCCCUUUUUUGCCAUAUUCUAAUGCCUUUUUUAUAUUAAUUUUAAAUCCCUCUUUUGGCCAUAAACAUUUGUAUAAGAUUGUUUGAAAGCAAAAUAUGAUUGUUAGGUCAGAUAGAAAGCAAAGUCGGCAAGAUCUUAGAGUUCUUCACCCACAUAACAGCGAUAAAAACAAAACAAUACGACCAAGCUGCUAAGGGUUGCAAAACCCCACCCUGCCUAGUAGGUCCUUAGAGUUUUUCACCCAACAUGGCAGCUGUGAGAGGGAGCGAGAAAAAAAGAGGGAGCCAAGCCAGCCGCUUAGGUCAAGUAAAACGCGCGCCGAGAUCCCCGGUUUCAGAAUUUUCGUGGGAUCCUCUCCGCUUUUCUUGCCUAAGCAAAACCCGAUCCCGCCUAGAGAGGUAGAGAGAAAAAAAAGAGGGAGCAAGGCCAGCCGCUUAGGUCAAGUAAAAUGCGCGCCGAGAUCCCCCGGUUUCAGAAUUUUCGUGGCGAUCCUCUCCGCUUUUCUUGCCUAAGCAAAACCGAUCCCGCCUAGAGAGGUAGAGAGAAAAAAAAGAGGGAGCAAGGCCAGCCGCUUAGGUCAAGUAAAAUGCGCGCCGAGAUCCCCCGGUUUCAGAAUUUUCGUGGGGAUCCUCUCCGCUUUUCUUGCCUAAGCAAAACCGAUCCGCCUAGAGAGUAGAGAGAAAAAAAAGAGGGAGCCAAGCCAGCCGCUUAGGUCAAGUAAAAUGCGCGCCGAGAUCACCCGGUUUCAGAAUUUUCGUGGGGUCCUCUCCGCUUUUCUUGCCUAAGCAAAACCCGAUCCCGCCUAGAGAGGUAGAGAGAAAAAAAGAGGGCGCCAAGCCAGCCGCUUAGGUCAAGUAAAAUGCGCGUCGAGAUCCCCGGGUUUCAGAAUUUUCGUGGGGAUCCUCUCCGCUUUUCUUGCCUAAGCAAAACCCGAUCCCGCCUAGAGAGGUAGAGAGAAAAAAAAGAGGGAGCCAAGCCAGCCGCUUAGGUCAAGAAAAAUGCGCGCCGAGAUCCCCGGUUUCAGAAUUUUCGUGGGAUCCUCUCCGCUUUUCUUGCCUAAGCAAAACCUGAUCCCGCCUAGAGAGGUAGAGAGAAAAAAAGAGGGAGCCAAGCCAGCCGCUUAGGUCAAGUAAAAUGCGCGCCGAGAUCCCCCGGUUUCAGAAUUUUCGUGGGGAUCCUCUUCGCUUUUCUUGCCUAAGCAAAACCCGAUCCCGCCUAGAGAGGUAGAGAGAAAAAAAAGAGGGCGCCAAGCCAGCCGCUUAGGUCAAGUAAAAUGCGCGCCGAGAUCCCCCGGUUUAUGAAUUUUCGUGGGAUCCUCUCCGCUUUUCUUGCCUAAGCAAAACCGAUCCCGCCUAGAGAGGUAGAGAGAAAAAAAGAGGGAGCCAAGCCAGCCGCUUAGGUCAAGUAAAAUGCGCGCCGAGAUCCCCCGGUUUCAGAAUUUUCGUGGGGAUCCUCUCCGCUUUUCUUGCCUAAGCAAAACCCGAUCCCGCCUAGAGAGGUAGAGAGAAAAAAAAGAGGGAGCCAAGCCAGCCGCUUAGGUCAAGUAAAAUGCGCGCCGAGAUCCCCCGGUUUCAGAAUUUUCGUGGGGAUCCUCUCCGCUUUUCUUGCCUAAGCAAAACCGAUCCCGCCUAGAGAGGUAGAGAGAAAAAAAGAGGGCGCCAAGCCAGCCGCUUAGGUCAAGUAAAAUGCGCGCCGAGAUCCCCGGUUUCAGAAUUUUCGUGGGGAUCCUCUCCGCUUUUCUUGCCUAAGCAAAACCCGACCUCCGCAGUAGGUACUUAGAGUUCUUCACCCAGCAUGGCAGCCUGUGAGAGGGAGCGAGAAACAAAAGAGGGAGCCAAGCCAGCCGCUUAGGUCAAGUAAAAUGCGCGCCGAGAUCCCCCGGUUUCAGAAUUUUCGUGGGGAUCCUCUCCGCUUUUCUUGCCUAAGCAAAACCCGACCCCCGCCUAGUAGGUACUUAGAGUUCUUCACCCAGCAUGGCAGCCUGUAGAGAGGGAGCGAGAAAAAAAAGAGGGAGUCAAGCCAGAUGCUUAGGUUAAGUAAAAUGCGCGUCGAGAUUGCCUGGUAUUAGAGCUUGCAUGGGCAACCUCUCCGCUUUAGAUGGAAUUUGAUGAAAUGCUUAUGUCCAAAGUAGGCAUUUCUCUACAGAGUCCUAAUGGUCAUAGAAAUUUAUUAUGCUUUGUAUUUAUUUUACUUUGUUGUCAGGAAUCAACUUCUUUUCUGAUUUGUAUGUUUAUGUAUAUGUUGCAUCUCUUUCUUGUUACCAUGUUGUAUUUCAUUGUACUCAAUAGUCUGAUUUGCAUUUUUUAUUGGCUACAUGUGUUUUACUAAUAAGAAUUUGUUUUCUCAUUUGUUUAUUUGUGUUAAUAAGUGUUCGUGUAAUUGCAAUUUUGUUCUUGAAGAUAUUUUGCUUGAAUCAAGUUAGUUCUUUCUAUAAGGAUCAUUUUCUUGUAAGGUUAUAACUUCUUGUCCAAUUUUUCCAACUCACAUUUCAACUUGUAACAGGUGAAUCCCUUCUAAAUAAGAGCUUAAAAAGAAAAAAAAAUUUAACCAUAAAAUCAAGGUACUGCAUCUUAUUUGCAAUGAAUUGCUAUAAUUUCUUCCAACACUAUGAAACAUUUAUGUUAUAGUUUUAUUAUUGUAAACACCUUUGCUAAACAUCAUUGUAAUUUCCAAACACAACUCUGCCAAAGUUCCCAAGAUAGUUCUAUAGCAAUGUUCCAUAGGCUAUCUUGCAAGUGAUGUGGAACUCCUUUGCUUUUUUGAAUAGUAAGCUGGCCUUCCUCUUUUGUUAUGCUUUGUUUUGUUCUUAAUACUUGCUUUUAUCUUUGCCUAUUUCAUUCCUAGUUGAUAUAUUACAUAGUCCUCUUAAAUCUACAUUCUUUUUCUGUUUUAUGAUUCGCUUGAUUUUAAUGACUAACUUUGGCGAAAUAAUGUUGAACUAUAUUGCAUGUUUUGCAUCUAAACCUCAAUUGAAAAGGUUUGUUAUCUGUAUCAGUAUAAGGUUUCCAUCCAUCUUUCUUAGGCCAUCAAUGAAGUUUUUGCUUAGAUCUAUCUUAGUUCGGCCUCUUUAAAAUGUUACUCCAUACAAGGAAGAUCAAAAGUUGUGAUUACAAAGUGUAGAUUUGUAUUGUAUAGUUGCCUUAGUUAUUUUUUUAAUUAUUCUUUUUAGACGUUAUUUCCUUUUAUAAUUAGUUCUCUUUAGUUAGAAUUUCUAUUAAAUUAUACUUACCUAUUAUCAAGUCAUUUUUCAUUAAUAAGAGAAAAUGGAGUUUUUCUCAAAUAACAAAAAGUGAUUAUUUAAGAUACUAUGCUAAAGGGAACACAUCCAAUUACCAUGUUGAGAAUAUUAUCUUUGCCUAUUGAAGGUCUUGGAUUCUUGGUCAACUUUGAAUGCAAAUUUUUCUUAGUUGAUUAUUAAAUAUCAGGGUAAAAAGAUCUUAUAUUGUAAUGUUGUUUUGCUUCACUUGCAUCAUACACUAAAACACAAGAUUAAAAAAAAAGUUAUAUUUAGACUUUUGUAUGGUAGAUUAGGUGUUCUCUUUGAAUUGGUGUUGGUAUUGGCUUUCUAAUUAUGAUAUGAUUUUGGGAGCCUUUGAAUUAUGUUCUUCAAACCUUCUCUCUUCGAUUGAAGCUUAUUAUAUUUUAUCGUUGUUAGUAUGUUCUUUUUUUCCAUUUUUUCCCUUGUAAUAUUUUUAUUUGAUAUAUAAUGUGCAUAAAAGAGAAAGUAGUUAAUGUGUUUUACAUUGCUGUGUUGUGCAAAGUUGGUGCUGUUGGUUCAAAUAUUUAAGAUUUGGUGAAGCACUUGGAAUAGUCUAAGUUAAAACUUUUAAUCUGUAGGAUAAUUUACUUUAUAAGAAUCACACAUUUACCUUUUUUUUUUUUUUUGAAGUAGGAAAGGAGCCUCUUCGUUAAGCUGAAAAUGAAUAGACAAGACAAAAGGUAAUACAAAAGCCCUAGGAUCAGUGAGUGCACUCGGGCAUCUCAUCUAUGUUGACACCUACUUAGCAUUCUCACCAUUCGUAGGUUAUGAGUUACGAACCUACACGUAAGCUUUUUUAGGUCGUUUUGAAAGUUAAAGUGAUACUUAGACACGUUUUGAACUCGUUUUAGGUUGGUUUGAAACUAAGUUUUAAACACAUUUGAUUGACAUGUUGGGUCUUGAAGUACUUUUUUCACACUUUUUGAAAUUUUGGUAGGUUGUGAGUUACAAACUUACACUUAAGCAUUACUUGGUCGUUUUGAAAAUUCAAGUGAUACUUACACACGUUUUGAAUUCAUUUUAGGUUAGAUUGAGUUUGUUGCACUUGGUUGUCAUUUUUGGUCUUGAAAUGCUUUUUUCAACCUUUUGGUAGAUUAUGAGUUACGAACUUACACUUAUGAUUUGCUAGGUUGUUUUGAAAACUCAAGUAAUACCUAGACACGUUUUGAGCACGUUUUAGGUUGGUUUGAACUAAGUUUGUUGCACUUACACACUUGGUUGCCAUUUUGGGUCUUGUAGUGCUUUUUCACAAUAUUUGAACUUUUUUCGUAGGUUAUGAGUUACGAACCUACACGUAAGCUUUUUUAGGUCGUUUUGAAAGUUAAAGUGAUACUUAGACACGUUUUGAACUCGUUUUAGGUUGGUUUGAAACUAAGUUUUAAACACAUUUGAUUGACAUGUUGGGUCUUGAAGUACUUUUUUCACAACAUUCUUUUCAUUUUGUAUGAAAGUUAAAGUGAGUUUCCGCCAAUCCACUUCAGUUACCCCAACGUGUGCAGCCAUUGCAUUCCAAGGAUGACAUCCUGAUAGAACACUGAUGUAGUGUUUUAUUAUAUUGAUAAUCAAACACAACUUACAACAUAAGCAAACCGUGAACCUCAGAAAAUGAGUCACGUUACAUAUAAUUCACAAACAUCAAACAAAGAAAACCUCCUAAUCCAAAAUUCCGAACAACAAAGUACUAAUAAGCAAACCAGAAUAUAGAACACCAAUCUUCUGCUUCCCCUGUCUUUCAAGGAGUAUUGCAGACCUUUUCCUUCACUCAAAAAACUCACUUUAACAAAGAGGCAGCCACAUUUUCAGGUAUAGAAAAUAAAGUAGGUAGUAUGUAGGAGGGCUAACCAGAACUGAGUUGCAUAACGUUUGUCUUCCGCCUCUAGAGAUGUUAUAUCUUUUCCACCUUUCAAGUUUCUUGUGAAUUCGAUCAAUGACUGGUUGCCAAAAAGACUUUUGUCGAGGGUAGCCUCCCAAAGGGAGACCUAAAUAUAUAAUCAGAAGCUUUUCUACCUUGCACCCUAUCAGAUUUGCUGUUUGAAACAAAUCUUCCUCUCCCACAUUAAUGCCGCUAAGGGCUGAUUUUUCCCAGUUUACUUUCUGCCCGAACACCAUUCGAAUAAUCUAAUGACGUUUUAAAGUUUAAGGACCAUCUUCACAUCAUACUUACAAAAGAGAAGAGUAUCAUCGACAAAUUGAAGCAAAGGGAGGUGGAUCAAGUCUUUGCCAACAAGGAAACCUUCAAACUGGCGGUUAAUAUGAAGCUUGUUUAUGAUUUCUCCUAAAACCUCACUUACUAGGAGGAAUAAAAGGGGGAGAGGGGUACCCUUGGCGGAUACCUCAAGAUGCUGUUAUCCGGCCUCUAGGCUUACCAUUGAUGAAGACCGAAUACUUUGGAUUUUUUGGGCAGCUCAUUAUCCAUGAUAUCCAUUUGGAACUAAACUUUUUCAAAGAUAAUUUUUUUUCUAAAAAGUUCCAAUUCACCCUAUCAAAGGCUUUUUCCAAGUCAAGUUUUAAAAUCCAUCCUUUUUUCCGUUUUGCCCUAUAAUCUUCCACGGCCUCGUUAGCAAUUAAUAUUGGGUCAAGAAUUUUCCUACCUUCAAUAAAGGCGCUUUGAGUGGGCUUAUAAUUGCAUCCAUAACUUGUUUUAGACGUUCAGAUAAAACCUUUGCAACGACCUUGUAUGGUAACGUAGUAAGGCUGAUUGGACGGAAAUCCUUGACUAGAGUCACAUUCUCUUUUUUCUGCACUAAACAAAUGAAGUUUUCUUGGAUGCAAGCAUUUAAUGUUCCAUUUCUGUGGAAAUCAGACAUUAGUGAUUUGAAGAUAUCCUUGAAAAUAGACCAUUGGGUGAUUAGGAACUUCACUGUGAAGCCAUCCGGGCCCGGAGCUUUGUUGUUGCCAAGUGCCUUUAAUGCCUUAAAGAUCUCUGUUAGGAUUCUACACCCUUUUUAAUAAAAUACCCAACUAGGGCUAAACAGAGACAGAAUAUAUAGCCCAAAGUUACAGCUACAAUAAGGAAUGAAAACAAGAACAAUGAACAACAAGAACAAACCUGCACCCUUCACAAGAAGGAUACCCCUCUCCUAUCAGCUGCUGCCGCUCCCUUUCUUAAAAGAUAACCAAAAAGAUACCAUCCCUAUUUCUCAAUCAUCAUUCUAUUUAUACUCACCCUCAAAUUCCUACCCAGUGGGACCCACCUGCACAUUCUUUUAUUUCCCACUCAUUCUCUCUCCUUACAUGUUGGUGAGUUUCCCUUCUUACCCUUCCUAACAUACGUAUGUAUGAUUGGGGGUCUCACAACACCCC
rnacentral:lncRNA from 1 species